rnacentral:rRNA from 1 species
CCUACGGGUGGCUGCAGUGGGGAAUAUUGGACAAUGGGGGCAACCCUGAUCCAGCCAUGCCGCGUGUGUGAAGAAGGCCCGCGGGUUGUAAAGCACUUUCAGUGAGGAAGAACGCCUGGUGGUUAAUACCCAUCAGGAAAGACAUCACUCACAGAAGAAGCACCGGCUAACUCCGUGCCAGCAGCCGCGGUAAUACGGAGGGUGCGAGCGUUAAUCGGAAUUACUGGGCGUAAAGCGCGCGUAGGUGGCUUGAUAAGCCGGUUGUGAAAGCCCCGGGCUCAACCUGGGAACGGCAUCCGGAACUGUCAAGCUAGAGUGCAGGAGAGGAAGGUAGAAUUCCCGGUGUAGCGGUGAAAUGCGUAGAGAUCGGGAGGAAUACCAGUGGCGAAGGCGGCCUUCUGGACUAACACUGACACUGAGGUGCGAAAGCGUGGGUAGCAAACAGGAUUAGAUACCCGUGUAGUC